GCCGGGUGUGGUGGUGCACACCUGUAAUCCCAGCUACUCGGGAGGCUGAGGCAGGAGAAUUGCUUGAACCCAGGAGGCGGAGGUUGCAGUGAGCCGGGAUCGCACCACUGCAUUCCAGCCUGGGUAACAGAGUGAGACUCUGUCUCAA
rnacentral:SRP_RNA from 1 species